rnacentral:rRNA from 1 species
GGCAGUGCUCGCAAGAGAACCGGAACACAGGUGCUGCAUGGCUGUCGUCAGCUCGUGUCGUGAGAUGUUGGGUUAAGUCCCGCAACGAGCGCAACCCUUGUCAUUAGUUGCUACGAAAGGGCACUCUAAUGAGACUGCCGGUGACAAACCGGAGGAAGGUGGGGAUGACGCCAAGUCCUCAUGGCCCUUAUGGGUAGGGCUCCACACGUCAUACAAUGGUCGGGACAGAGGGUCGCCAACCCGCGAGGGGGAGCCAAUCCCAGAAACCCGAUCGUAGUCCGGAUUGCAGGCUGCAACUCGCCUGCAUGAAGUCGGAAUCGCUAGUAAUCGCGGAUCAGCAUGUCGCGGUGAAUACGUUCCCGGGUCUU